GACGAACGCUGGCGACAUGCCUAAUACAUGCAAGUCGAGCGAACAGAUGAAGUGCUUGCACUUCUGACGUUAGCGGCGAACGGGUGAGUAACACGUAAGGAAUCUACCUAUAAGCGGGGGAUAACAUUCGGAAACGGGUGCUAAUACCGCAUAAUAUCUUCUUCCGCAUGGAAGAAGAUUGAAAGACGGCUCUGCUGUCACUUAUAGAUGACCUUGCGGUGCAUUAGUUAGUUGGUGGGGUAAUGGCCUACCAAGACGAUGAUGCAUAGCCGACCUGAGAGGGUGAUCGGCCACAUUGGGACUGAGACACGGCCCAAACUUCUACGGGAGGCUGCAGUAGGGAAUCUUCCGCAAUGGGCGAAAGCCUGACGGAGCAAUGCCGCGUGAGUGAAGAAGGCCUUCGGGUCGUAAAACUCUGUUAUAAGAGAAGAACAGAUUGUAGAGUAACUGCUACAGUCUUGACGGUAUCUUAUCAGAAAGCCACGGCUAACUACGUGCCAGCAGCCGCAGUAA
rnacentral:rRNA from 1 species